AAUAGAUGGAGGAUGAAAUUGAAAAUAAUUUUGAGAGAAAAUGAUGAAAAUUUAGGUUCUAGGGAUGUUUUUGAAAGAAAAAUCAGAAACUAGAGGUCAAAAUACAAUUUAAGAAAAAUAUGCCAUGUAGGACGCCCAGUCAGCAGCCCGACGAAGAAGAGCGCACCGCGUGGUAAGGCACGCUGACGCGGUGCCACGCGAGAGGCCACGUUGGAGAUCCGUGUGCCCGCGAUCGGACAGUCCAGAUUUGUUCCCGCACGCGUGAAAAAACCAGAUCCGUUCUCUCCUCAGACGCGAUUGGACGGUCACAAUUAAACGCGAUGAAUGGCCCAGAUCCACUCCUAUUUAAAUGCAAUUAGACAGUCCAUAUCAAACGCAAUAAACGGCUUAGGUUAAAAAGAGACAGAUAUAAAUACCCCUCUUCACACCAAACCUUAAUU
rnacentral:lncRNA from 1 species